UGCCAAUUAUGGGGGCAGAAAAGAAGAAAGAGUAAAAAUUAUACAAAUGUUCUGGUAAUUAUUUUUAAAAUUUCAUAAUGAAAUAAGAGUGUCUAGAUAAAUGACAGCCAAGAAUCAAACCUAGCAACAAAUAUUUUGUCUUUCUGCUUUGCAUUUUACCCAAUACACUUAUGUAGAAGCAAUGUAUCUUUUCUUAUUGUUUAUUUAAAACAAGCGUAUUAUUGUGUACAAGAGUAUGGGAAUGACAUACCUAGGGAGAAGUGGGCAGGCUAGGGAGACAAAUGCAGGACUUUGGGGUUUGAGUUUGGUUUCUAUAAGGAGAACUUUCUAUAGCAAAUGCUUGAUGGUACUAUCAAAAUGUUUUUGGCAGAACAAUAUCGAGAAAACCCACUGGCCUCUGAGGACAAGAAAGAGUGAUUUCAUAGUGACGUUGCGUCUUGGGGCUGCUGUUUGGGUCCAAUAGCCAGUGCACUUUCAGGGUGAAGAACUGUGUGCUAUUGAAGAUUCUCUCCUAUUUCUUCAAAAGGCCCAUGCUCAUCAAGAGGCUAGGGAGAGGAGUGUGGAUUCAGGAACCCGAGUUAUCGAAAGCCCAUGUACUGGGUACUACAUUGUACAGAAACCCCAAGAAGAGUGAGCAGCAAGUUAAACAUCUUUUACUAAGGGCUGUCUUUCUUUUAACUAUCUUUCUAUAUCCUGGAGCUCGUUGGUCUUACUGUGGCAUUCUUCUGCAAAGGUAGUCUGAUUUCAUUAAGUGAGAGAGUGACAGGAUGUUUCCUGAGACGUGUUUUGCCAAUAGGAAUACAGCAUACAAUGCAUAAGUUUCCUGAUAUGGCUUUGGUGUCCAUGUUAUGCUGUCUUAAGGGAAGGGUGACACAGAUUUUUGAAAAACCAAGCAAGAUCACAUAUUUGAAG